rnacentral:rRNA from 1 species
AGAACGAACGCUGGCGGCAGGCCUAACACAUGCAAGUCGAACGCAUCGCAAGAUGAGUGGCAGACGGGUGAGUAACACGUGGGAACCUUCCUUUUAGUACGGAAUAGCCUAGGGAAACUUAGAUUAAUACCGUAUACGCCCUAUGGGGGAAAGAAUUAUCGCUAAAAAGAUGGGCCCGCGUAAGAUUAGCUAGUUGGUGAGGUAAUGGCUCACCAAGGCUACGAUCUUUAGCUGGUUUGAGAGAAUGAUCAGCCACACUGGAACUGAGACACGGUCCAGACCCCUACGGGAGGCAGCAGUGGGGAAUAUUGGACAAUGGGCGCAAGCCUGAUCCAGCCAUGCCGCGUGAAUGAUGAAGGCCUUCGGGUUGUAAGUUCUUUAGUGGAGAAAUAUGAUGGUAUCCACAGAAAAGCCCCGGCUAACUUCGUGCCAGCAGCCGC